UAAUUUUGGGUCCGUAAUAUAGCC
rnacentral:siRNA from 1 species